GCGGUGUACCCGCGGCUAGACGGAAAGACCCCGUGAACCUUUACUACAGCUUGGCACUGAACAUUGACCCUACAUGUGUAGGAUAGGUGGGAGGCUGUGAAGCGGUGACGCCAGUUGCCGUGGAGCCAUCCUUGAAAUACCACCCUUGUAUGUUUGAUGUUCUAACGUUGCCCCCUUAUCGGGGGUGCGGACAGUGCCUGGUGGGUAGUUUGACUGGGGCGGUCUCCUCCCAAAGAGUAACGGAGGAGCACGAAGG
rnacentral:rRNA from 1 species